ACAGUCAGGACAGCUGGAUGGUGACAAGGGCAGAGAUUGGGGAAGAGAGGCCACAUGGUGGGAUAAACUACACCGGGCAUGGGAAUUAGGCUCUAUUUUGCAUUGGGGUGGGUGCUUUAAGGAAUGCACUCCUUAACAUCACCCCUAUCCCACCUGCCCCAUGCGUGUUGGUACUACAACCACUGCAGGUGGAGACUAGGCUGGGGAAAAUGCCCUCUGGGUGUACAGGCUCGGCCCAAGUCUCUCAUGCCCCCUGGCAGCCUUGCCUAGGGUCGUAGCCUCCCCUUUUAGCAAUGUGAAUAGCAUAGGUGGGGUCAGACAAGGUGCCGACCCCUCUGGUCACACUUUCUAGUCUUCGGGGUCCCCGGAGUUGUCAUCCAGCGACCUGCUCGAAGCCUUCAGGUGUGUGUGUGUGUGUGCGCGCGCGUGCGCGUGAGCGCAUGGCCAAGCAUGUUCUCACACCCAUUUACCCACAGUUUGAUGUCUGCCUCUUUCUUCCUCUUAGCACAAGAGCCUUCCUGGAUCAGACCAAAGAUACUGUUCUUUGUCCCCACCCAACACCUGGUGUUGAGAUCUUUGCCAGGCCACACACACAAAUCAAUUCCAAUUUUGACCUUGCCCAAAGUUUUCAACCCACAGAAGCUAAAAAGAGGUACAAGACUAAAAACAAAACCAGGAGAGAGAGGGGGGGGAGGGGGAGAGAGAGAGAGCGCACAAUCAGCAAGAAUCCCUCACCUCUGGCCAAGGGGGAAUCUGAUGAGCAGUGGAGCCAGCCCUUUAUCUGGAGGAACACCACAGUCUGAAAACUCCAGUUGCCUGUGAGAGUCCCCUUCCAGUAUCCUGAGCCCUCAUUUUGCUCAAUGUGAUGUUCCGAGGCACCAGCACGGUCAAACUUGCAACAACUUCAGCUCCUGGCUUGCUACUGCUGUGCACAGCAGGGUCCUUACUCGACUUCUGGACUGCCUAACCAGGUGAAUGUUCUGCACAGUCAUCAUCCUGAAAUAAGGAUUGUCCAGACCAUCUUCCUGCCUCGAGGUGGUCUUUUCUACUUGCCACAGAUUUGUUCCAAGAAGCAUCAACCUGAUAUUUACCUUCUGGGGGAAGGCAACACCUUAUUUAUUCAUGAAAAAAGGUUUCUUUUUCUUUUUCUUUUUUUAAAAUUAUUGCUGAGGUCACACAAGGCGUACAGAACAUGAGAGAUUGCUUAACAUGAAAUUAAGUUUCUGGGAUAUACUUUUUUUCCAAACAUGCAUUUAAAUGUAAAUAAAAUUUCAUUUUUCAGCAAUCGC